AGAUAUACUCACGGAGGGCUGCUGUCACCUGUCAUCACUGCUGGACAGAUGAUUUCAACACAGACAUUACAAGUGGUCCAGCCUCUUCAUAAGCCUGCACUAAAGACACUGAAGCUUGUGAUCACCCGUGUCAGGACAAGGAAUGGCAUCUCCCUAACAGGACUCAAGAGCCUUUGCCAUUAUCUGUGGUAUUAAGCAGGUUUCAAUUAGGAUUUUAGGUGGAUUUUUUUCUUUGUUCCGCAGAAGUUUUAAUCAAGGCAGAAAAACUCUGACGCCUCAUUCUCCUCACAACAGUCAGUCACCAAAGCGUUGCAUUUUUCUUCCUGAAGCUUCCCCUCCCUCGGGCACAUUUUUAGCAAAAAAGAUGAGAUCCCAAGCUCUCCAGAUGUUGCCUCUCAGAUGUGCCUCAGCACGCAUCUCAGAGCCAUCUGGCCGCAGCAACAGCUGGACUGCUUCCAAGUGGAAGUGCUCACAGUCCAGGUGUCUCAGGGUAAUGAUGGAUAACCGUAGGUCGAGAUGACCGUUCAGCAGAAGAGACUAGAGGACUUAGCUGACUUGCAGAAACUGCUCAUUGUGGACAGCACACCUCUGAGGGAGGCCGGGAACUUGGCAGCAGACUUCAAGAAAGCAGCAGGAGGAUGUAAUUCCCAGUUACUUCUCCAGCACCAUGCCUGCCUGCCUGCCUGCCUGCCACCAUGCUCUCUGCUAUGAUGAGAAUGGACUAAAUCACUGAACUGUGAGCAUGGGUCCAAUUAAAUGCUUUAAAAAAAACACUAA
rnacentral:lncRNA from 1 species